GAUGAAGAACGUAGCGAAAUGCGAUACUUGGUGUGAAUUGCAGAAUCCCGUGAACCAUCGAGUCUUUGAACGCAAGUUGCGCCCGAAGCCGUCAGGCCGAGGGCACGCCUGCCUGGGCGUCACACGCCGUUGCCCCCCCGCGCCCCGCACCCAACUCUUUGGGAGCGACCGCGGGGCGGGCUGAUGAUGGCCUCCCGUGCGCUCCGCCGCGCGGUUGGCCCAAAUACCGAGUCCCCGGCGACGUGCGCCACGACGAUCGGUGGUUGAGAGACCUCUGUCGCAAGUCGUGCGCGCCCGUCGCGUCACGCGGGCUCGCAUAGCGCCUCGCGCCGCACCCGGUGCGGAGCUUUCAACGCGACCCCAGGUCAGGCGGGGUUACCCGCUGAAUUUAAGCAUAUCAAAAGCGGAGGA
rnacentral:misc_RNA from 1 species